rnacentral:rRNA from 1 species
CCUACGGGUGGCAGCAGUGAGGAAUAUUGGUCAAUGGACGAGAGUCUGAACCAGCCAAGUAGCGUGAAGGAUGACUGCCCUAUGGGUUGUAAACUUCUUUUAUAUGGGAAUAAAACGUUCCACGUGUGGGAUUUUGUAUGUACCAUAUGAAUAAGGAUCGGCUAACUCCGGGCCAGCAGCCGCGGUAAUACGGAGGAUCCGAGCGUUAUCCGGAUUUAUUGGGUUUAAAGGGAGCGUAGGUGGAUUGUUAAGUCAGUUGUGAAAGUUUGCGGCUCAACCGUAAAAUUGCAGUUGAAACUGGCAGUCUUGAGUACAGUAGAGGUGGGCGGAAUUCGUGGUGUAGCGGUGAAAUGCUUAGAUAUCACGAAGAACUCCGAUUGCGAAGGCAGUUCACUGGACUGCAACUGACACUGAGGCUCGAAAGUGUGGGUAUCAAACAGGAUUAGAUACCCCAGUAGUC